UGGGGAAUUUUGGACAAUGGGGGCAACCCUGAUCCAGCAAUGCCGCGUGUGUGAAGAAGGCCUUCGGGUUGUAAAGCACUUUUGUCCGGAAAGAAAUCGCGCUGGUUAAUACCUGGCGUGGAUGACGGUACCGGAAGAAUAAGCACCGGCUAACUACGUGCCAGCAGCCGCGGUAAUACAUAGGGUGCGAGCGUUAAUCGGAAUUACUGGGCGUAAAGCGUGCGCAGGCGGUUUUGUAAGACAGGCGUGAAAUCCCCGGGCUUAACCUGGGAAUUGCGCUUGUGACUGCAAGGCUAGAGUGCGUCAGAGGGGGGUAGAAUUCCACGUGUAGCAGUGAAAUGCGUAGAGAUGUGGAGGAAUACCGAUGGCGAAGGCAGCCCCCUGGGACGUGACUGACGCUCAUGCACGAAAGCGUGGGGAGCAAACAGGAUUAGAUACCCUGGUAGUCCACGCCCUAAACGAUGUCAACUAGUUGUUGGGGAUUCAUUUUCUCAGUAACGUAGCUAACGCGUGAAGUUGACCGCCUGGGGAGUACGGUCGCAAGAUUA
rnacentral:rRNA from 1 species